rnacentral:misc_RNA from 1 species
UUUCCGUAGGUGAACCUGCGGAAGGAUCAGUAAAGUUAUAGUCCCCUGGCCCUCUGGGCUGGGGUCUUCUAUACCACCCUUUGUUUAUUACACCUUUGUUGCUUUGGCAGGCCUGCCCUCGGGCUGCUGGCUCCGGCCGGCUCGCGUCUGCCAGAGGACCUAAACUCUGUUUGUAUAUGAAGUCUGAGUACUAUAUAAUAGUUAAAACUUUCAACAACGGAUCUCUUGGUUCUGGCAUCAUGAAGAACGCAGC